rnacentral:rRNA from 1 species
GAUGAACGCUGGCGGCGUGCCUAAUACAUGCAAGUCGAGCGAACGGGCGAGAAGCUUGCUUUUCUGAUGUUAGCGGCGGACGGGUGAGUAACACGUGGAUAACCUACCUAUAAGACUGGGAUAACUUCGGGAAACCGGAGCUAAUACCGGAUAAUAUUUUGAACCGCAUGGUUCAAAAGUGAAAGACGGUCUUGCUGUCACUUAUAGAUGGAUCCGCGCUGCAUUAGCUAGUUGGUAAGGUAACGGCUUACCAAGGCAACGAUGCAUAGCCGACCUGAGAGGGAGAUCGGCCACACUGGAACUGAGACACGGUCCAGACUCCUACGGGAGGCAGCAGUAGGGAAUCUUACGCAAUGGGCGAAAGCCUGACGGAGCAACGCCGCGUGAGUGAUGAAGGUCUUCGGAUCGUAAAACUCUGUUAUUAGGGAAGAACAUAUGUGUAAGUAACUGUGCACAUCUUGACGGUACCUAAUCAGAAAGCCACGGCUAACUACGUG